rnacentral:rRNA from 1 species
UACGGGGGUGCAAGCGUUGUUCGGAAUUACUGGGCGUAAAGGGCUCGUAGGCGGCCAACUAAGUCAGACGUGAAAUCCCCAGGCUUAACCUGGGAACUGCGUCUGAUACUGGAUGGCUUGAGAUUGGGAGAGGGAUGCGGAAUUCCAGGUGUAGCGGUGAAAUGCGUAGAUAUCUGGAGGAACACCGGUGGCGAAGGCGACAUCCUGGACCAACACUGACGCUGAGGAGCGAAAGCCAGGGGAGCAAACGGG